CACGGGUGAGUAACACGUAUCCAACCUGCCGUCUACUCUUGGACAGCCUUCUGAAAGGAAAGGAUUAAUACAAGAUGGCAUCAUGAGUCCGCAUGUUCACAUGAUUAAAGGUAUUCCGGUAGACGAUGGGGAUGCGUUCCAUUAGAUAGUAGGCGGGGUAACGGCCCACCUAGUCUUCGAUGGAUAGGGGUUCUGAGAGGAAGGUCCCCCACAUUGGAACUGAGACACGGUCCAA
rnacentral:rRNA from 1 species